CGGGAUAACCCGGAGAAAUCCGGCCUAAUACCGCAUGUGGCCGAGGGGAGGCAUCUUCUUUCGGCCAAAGGAGGCAACUCCGGAGACGGAUGGGCAUGCGUGACAUUAGCUUGUUGGCGGGGUAACGGCCCACCAAGGCGACGAUGUCUAGGGGUUCUGAGAGGAAGGUCCCCCACACUGGUACUGAGACACGGACCAGACUCCUACGGGAGGCGGCAGUGAGGAAUAUUGGUCAAUGGGCGAGAGCCUGAACCAGCCAAGUCGCGUGAAGGAUGACGGCCCUACGGGUUGUAAACUUCUUUUGUCAGGGAGCAAUUGAGUCCACGUGUGGGCUUAGCGAGAGUACCUGAAGAAAAAGCAUCGGCUAACUCCGUGCCAGCAGCCGCGGUAAUACGGAGGAUGCGAGCGUUAUCCGGAUUUAUUGGGUUUAAAGGGUGCGUAGGCGGAAUAUCAAGUCAGCGGUAAAAAUUCGGGGCUCAACCCCGUCGUGCCGUUGAAACUGAUGUUCUUGAGUGGGCGAGAAGUAUGCGGAAUGCGUGGUGUAGCGGUGAAAUGCAUAGAUAUCACGCAGAACUCCGAUUGCGAAGGCAGCAUACCGGCGCCCAACUGACGCUGAAGCACGAAAGCGUGGGUAUCGAACAGGAUUAGAUACCCUGGUAGUCCACGCAGUAAACGAUGAA
rnacentral:rRNA from 1 species